UGGGGAAGUCGUGGCCUAAUGGUUAGAGGGUUGGACUCCCAAUCGAAGGGUUGUGGGUUCUAGUCUCGGGCUGGAAGGAAUUGUGGGUGGGGGGAGUGCAUGUACAGUUCUCUCUCCACCUUCAAUACCACGACUUAGGUGCCCUUGAGCAAGGCAUCGAACCCCCAACUGCUCCCCGGGCGCCGCAGCAUACAUGGCUGCCCACUGCUCCGGGUGUGUGCUCACAGUGUGUGUGUGUGUGUGCAUUUCGGAUGGGUUAAAUGCAGAGCACAAAUUCUGAGUAUGGGUCACCAUACUUGGCUGAAUGUCACUUCACUUUCACUUUAAA